ensembl:lncRNA
CUUUAACUGAGCUGUUUUAUUCAUGUCUAUUUUAUUGUACUCUUCUACAUCCAUACAUUAUUUCUUUCCUAGCACACCUGACCUUUCUAUUUUACUUUAUUUUGUUAUACUGCAUCUUAUUCGCAAACAGAGGGCACAAAGCCAGAGGAGGAAGCCACUGUAAGUGUGUGAAUGCAUUAAUAUGUUGUCCUGUUUUUGUAAUGAUAUGUGUAUUGUGUCAUUUUCCAUCUUGUAAGGUGGACCCAAAGACAAAUUUCCAAGUUAGUGGAGAAUUUUUCCAAACAACUGCUUCUAGAUAUUGUUUUACUGCACAUGGCUAUAUUAAAGUAAUAACACUAAAUGAGCAGUACUGAGAUGAGCCCCUGUAGGAGAGACUCUUUCUCCUAACAUCGUUUAGAGGAACUCCUAUCUGUGAGGGUGGAAACAUAAGCACUAUUCAUAGCUACAUCUUCCUCUCAGGGUGGACAUUGAAAGUUUCUCUAUGACAAUUACAUGCCAUUAGAUUCUUUGUUGUUGUCUAAGUGCUACAUAUGCAAAAUAAAGGACAGUAACAUGGAGUGAAAGUAUCAACACUGAACAUUCAGAUAAUUCAAAGUAUUACUGUGUAUGUGUGUACUUCUGUUCAAGUCUCCAUAUAGCCUACGGGCACAACUAAUGUGCAAGUCUACAUUACAAAUACGGAAGUCUAUAAUAUCUGGUGAAAGCUGUCUGUUAGCAUUCCCAUGCUGAAGUAUAUGGCCUGCACAGUCCUAAGAAUAAAGUUUCUUUAAAAAAAUUAAAAUAAAAACACCUUUCUUGUGUCUCUGAUGAGAAAAUGGGGCUGUGACUUUUACGGAAAGGCUUGACUAGAUCAUAUUGUUCAAUCAUCUACGUCACGGUUCUUUUCAAAGCUGCCAAUUUGCAACUUCAGCUUUGCAAAGACAUGUCACUAUCCAUGAAAGAAUGACUCGGUAAAGACGAGAGGAUUUAAAAGGAAAAAUCAGGACCAUAAACAACAUUUUACCUAUUAAAGCAAUUAUGGUCAUAAAACACUCACCAAAAAAAAAAAAAAAAAAAACCUGAAAGUUUUAACAAAAAUAAGAUUACAAAUAAGUAAUCAAGGAACAGUUUAGCAAAUGGAAAUUUUUCUAAUUAAACAAGAAAACUUUAGCAAAGUUUUAGAGCAUAAAACCAGGCUGCUACAGUGAUGUACAGUGCAACUGUAUAUAUUUUUAUUCAGUUCAAUACAUAAGUGAAUUUCAGUAACAUAACCCAACUUAUCUAGUUGAAAGAUAUCUAGCAGAUAUUUUUUAGACACCCUUUACCUUAAAGGUAAAAAAAAAAAAAACUAAAAAAAAACAAAAACAAAGUGCAAGUUUUGUUGCCUAAUGCCACAGUUUCUCAUGAUAAACACAGCAUGUUACACAAAUGUUAACAUUCUGAGUUGUACUGUUAUCUUCAUAUAAACGGCAUAUAAAAAGGAACAAACAUUACAAAAACAAUUGGACCACUGACAGAGGGAUUUCAAUCUUUUAAGGCAGUCCAGCAAAUUCAUGUAGCAUGUUUGUAGUAGGCUAUUUUUACACUUUCAAUCUCUCCUGAAGAAUUUUUUCUCUUUAUAGUAUAAAGUCAGACAAGUUCUUUGCAGAAACCAUAACAACAAAGCAAAAAACGUAACGAGUGUGAAAAGUUGGCACCUCACAUGGCUGUGGAACGACUAGCCAUUAUUGAUGUUCAUGUCUCAUAUUUCACAUAAAACACAGAUCUCAGUAGUGAAAAGGAGAGAAUUCCACAGUAGGCUUUAGUAGGUCAGUAACCAUAAUACACCGAGGCUAUUGUUUCUCCUAGCGCCAGUAAAGACUCGCUCCCGACGGCAGUGCAGAAGAUCAUGUCGAUCCGUCGCGCUUGCUGUUGCUGGCAGCAGCAGUCUGUGAUGGAGACACGGUCGGGUGCUUCUCCGUCCAGCUGUCGUCUGCCCAGUCGGGUCCUUGAAGAUACAUCAGACCCCCGACUGAAUCAACCAGUCCAAAAAGAGCCACCAGAAAAGAAAACGCGGUUCCGAUGAAGUAGAUCUUCAGAAAGCCGAUUCCAGACAUGUUUCACUACAGAUGUCCAGGAUUAUCUAUUAAAAAAUAAAAUAAAAAAUAAGCAAAAACAAAACAACCAAAGCACACAAGAGCCACGCCAUCAAUACCGGAAGUUAAUACAUAUUGGCUUAAAAACACAAUUAUUGCUAUUUCUUAUUUAUUUAAUAAGACACUGAAUAAGGAGAACGAAUACUACCUUAAUGUUACUUUGAGAAGUCAGACAAAAUGCCCCAAGUAUGACCAAAAUAGCCGAGACAAAAAUUUAAAUGCUCGUCUUUCUUACCAGGAGGAUGGUGGUCUUGCUUGCGUGGGAUUUUUUUUACAGCUGUGUCAGUGGAUGUGCGCGUUUUGCCUUCUUUGCCUCCAUGACAUCACAUAAAAUCCCUCCGUGUGAAGUGGGAGUUUCCAGCAUCUGUAGAAAUUCCCGCAAUGUGAAAGAAUGGUUCUUUUAAGGUGAAUCUUCUCGAUGAAUCACUUGAAGCGGUUCCCAAAAGCAGUCCGAACUAUUCCUGGCUCAGCUAGUCGGUCCAAGCUGUUCUCGAAUCAAAAGCUCGUGCUUGCAAUUUUUUUUUUUAGAGCAUGCAUGUUACAAAAGAAAUGUAGCCUACAGGAAAUGUGUUUACGAUUAUUGUAUGACAGUUUUAUUAACACAUAUCCUAAAUUACAUUAUGAUUUUAUGGUUUACUAAAACAUCUAUUUAUGGCUUUAUUGGAACAUUUUAGACUACGCAAGGCAAGACGUACGGACGUUAUUGCG